UAGCAGGGAAGAGGGCAUUAAGUAAUCGAUAUGAAUCGCUUUACAAAGCUCUUUCUUUCCCUAAAAGGAGAAAAGAGUGGAGUAAGGGAAGCGAAAGACACUGUACCGACUGAAAGGUACAUAGUUGCUUUACCGAUAGCGAGAGGAUUGAGAAAAGCUACAGCGCAGGAAGAGCAUAGGGAGAGGAUGAAGGCUUAGUUAGUGCUUGGGGAAAGGCUGAGGUACGAUAGCGAGAGCAAGAAAACUCCUGCGCUUACGCUUGCUAUUCCAAAUUGGAAUGGAGAAUUACUUCGGGACAAAAAUAAAAGAGAAAGAAAAAGCCUUCUUCUUCUCAAUACCAAUACCUAAAACUCACUGAACUUGAGCUAUCGUAAUUCAGUUUUCGCAAUCCCUCUCCCCUUUCCCUAUCGGUGGAGUAACUGCGUACCUCUAUAGAGCUUUCUA
rnacentral:lncRNA from 1 species